GCGGGUUUAGCUCAGUUGGGAGAGCGUAGCACUGAAGAUUCGCAGAGGUUCUCCACUGGAAUCAGAAUAUGCUAAGGUCGUGUGUUCGAUCCACACAAACCGCA
rnacentral:tRNA from 1 species